rnacentral:misc_RNA from 1 species
GAAAUGCGAUAAGUAAUGUGAAUUGCAGAAUUCAGUGAAUCAUCGAAUCUUUGAACGCACAUUGCGCCCGCCAGCAUUCUGGCGGGCAUGCCUGUUCGAGCGUCAUUUCAACCAUCGAGCCCCCGGGCUUGUGUUGGGGACCUGCGGCUGCCCGCAGGCCCCGAAAAUCAGUGGCGGGCUCGCUGUCACGCCGAGCGUAGUAGUAUCACCUCGCUCAGGGCGUGCUGCGGGUUCCGGCCGUUAAACCAACCCCUUUACCUCAAGGUUGACCUCGGAUCAGGUAGGAAUACCCGCUGAACUUAA